rnacentral:rRNA from 1 species
GAUGAACGCUGGCGGCGUGCUUAACACAUGCAAGUCGAACGGUGAAGGCGGAGCUUGCUCUGCUGGAUCAGUGGCGAACGGGUGAGUAACACGUGAGCAAUCUGCCCCUGACUCUGGGAUAAGCGCUGGAAACGGCGUCUAAUACUGGAUACGAGCUGCGAAGGCAUCUUCAGCAGCUGGAAAGAAUUUCGGUCAGGGAUGAGCUCGCGGCCUAUCAGCUUGUUGGUGAGGUAAUGGCUCACCAAGGCGUCGACGGGUAGCCGGCCUGAGAGGGUGACCGGCCACACUGGGACUGAGACACGGCCCAGACUCCUACGGGAGGCAGCAGAGGGGAAUAUUGCACAAUGGGCGAAAGCCUGAUGCAGCAACGCCGCGUGAGGGACGACGGCCUUCGGGUUGUAAACCUCUUUUAGCAGGGAAGAAGCGAAAGUGACGGUACCUGCAGAAAAAGCGCCGGCUAACUACGUG